UAGUUCCCUGCUCCUGCACACUACGGCUUAGUUUGGGAGCAACGGGAUACUAACCCUGGGAACAAAACCACCGAGGGGAAUUUUUGUGGCAGAUUGAAUCCCCGUGAUUUUCCCGGGUGCUGUUCCCCCUUCCCCGUUGCUGUUUCGCAGCAAAGAAAGAGAUCACAGGGAAACUAGAAUUCAACCAGUAGUGACCACGCAGGGUGCCACCAACCAGUAAUUCAGGGGAUAUAGUCAAAGCAAACACGGUGGGAAGUUGCCUUUUCAUGAUGCAUCUGUUGGCUCUGUUCAUGCGGUUAUUAAAAAUGUGGAAAGCUUGAGGGAGCGGUUGGUUGCUGAAAUUAGCCGGGUGCUGAAAACUGGUGGAAGAGUGCUGGUUCAGAGCUCUGCGCCAUCCUCCACUCAGUAGCUGAACGCCGAUAUUGAGCGCAAGUUAUUGAUGGGGGGAUUUGUUAAGUGCAAGCUUUGGCUGCGACCUCGCAGGAUAGCGUGCAAUCUGUUACUGACUAGGAUGACAUGGAAGCUUAUGUGGCAGCACUAGUUGAAGAUGGACAGCAAUCGAAGACCAUGACUGAGUACCAAGGACAUCAUCGAGCUUGUUGCUGCCGGUAGGGAAAAGUUUGGUUAAGAUUGAGACUUGGCUGACAAUAUAUUCUUCAAUGAACUUAGCUUUUUCAUUGCACCUAGGAUAUGUGAACCCAUUAUUAUUUUUAUCUAGUCUGUACGUGGUUAAAUGUUGGUUUAGGAGACUAAUAUUAUGCUUCGUAGGAGUAGUGUAUGACUAUGAGCAAUACAAAUGUAUUUCUAAUUCAUUAAUGUAUGAAUUUGGCUGAAGAUCUCUUUGAACAA